rnacentral:lncRNA from 1 species
CUCUACGCAAUUUGUUUAUUUGGAUUGAAGAUGAAGAUGGUGUCGAUGAAAUUGGAAACCAAUCUAAUUCAUAAAUUAUUGCACUUGCCUUUGAAGUUAUAGAAGAAGGAAAAAGAAGAAUGUCAAAUUAUAUCAAAAGUUGAGUGCUCAAAGAGUUAGAGGAAAAAUUAUUUUGUUUUUACUAAAUGUGUCAUUCAUUGUGAAUUUAAGCGUUUGUUUGAGUUAUUUGGUCAUUCUGCAACAAAUUUAACAACAUUAUCUUC